rnacentral:rRNA from 1 species
UACGUAGGGGGCAAGCGUUAUCCGGAAUCAUUGGGCGUAAAGCGCGUGUAGGCGGUUCAGUAAGUCCGCUCUGAAAGCCCAGGGCUCAACCCUGGGAGGCGGGUGGAUACUACUGGACUAGAGUACGGAAGAGGAGAUUGGAAUUCCUGGUGUAGCGGUGAAAUGCGCAGAUAUCAGGAAGAACACCCGUGGCUAAGGCGGCUCUCUAGUACGGUACUGACGCUGAGACGCGAAAGCGUGGGGAGCGAACAGG